UCCAGCAAUGCCGCGUGUGUGAAGAAGGCCUUCGGGUUGUAAAGCACUUUUGUCCGGAAAGAAAUCGCUUCGGUUAAUACCUGGAGUGGAUGACGGUACCGGAAGAAUAAGGACCGGCUAACUACGUGCCAGCAGCCGCGGUAAUACGUAGGGUCCAAGCGUUAAUCGGAAUUACUGGGCGUAAAGCGUGCGCAGGCGGUUGUGCAAGACCGAUGUGAAAUCCCCGGGCUUAACCUGGGAAUUGCAUUGGUGACUGCACAGCUAGAGUGUGUCAGAGGGAGGUAGAAUUCCACGUGUAGCAGUGAAAUGCGUAGAGAUGUGGAGGAAUACCGAUGGCGAAGGCAGCCUCCUGGGAUAACACUGACGCUCAUGCACGAAAGCGUGGGGAGCAAACAGGAUUAGAUACCCUGGUAGUCCACGCCCUAAACGAUGUCAACUAGUUGUUGGGGAUUCAUUUCCUUAGUAACGUAGCUAACGCGUGAAGUUGACCGCCUGGGGAGUACGGUCGCAAGAUUAAAACUCAAAGGAAUUGACGGGGACCCGCACAAGCGGUGGAUG
rnacentral:rRNA from 1 species